rnacentral:tRNA from 1 species
AUAUUUAAGUAUAAGAUGUAUAAAAGUUUUUGAUACUUUAGGGAAUAGUUUAAUUCUAUUAAAUAUAAU